AUGAACGCUGGCGGCGUGCCUAAUACAUGCAAGUCGAGCGAACGGACGAGAAGCUUGCUUCUCUGAUGUUAGCGGCGGACGGGUGAGUAACACGUGGAUAACCUACCUAUAAGACUGGGAUAACUUCGGGAAACCGGAGCUAAUACCGGAUAAUAUUUUGAACCGCAUGGUUCAAAAGUGAAAGACGGUCUUGCUGUCACUUAUAGAUGGAUCCGCGCUGCAUUAGCUAGUUGGUAAGGUAACGGCUUACCAAGGCAACGAUGCAUAGCCGACCUGAGAGGGUGAUCAGCCACACUGGAACUGAGACACGGUCCAGACUCCUACGGGAGGCAGCAGUAGGGAAUCUUCCGCAAUGGGCGAAAGCCUGACGGAGCAACGCCGCGUGAGUGAUGAAGGUCUUCGGAUCGUAAAACUCUGUUAUUAGGGAAGAACAUAUGUGUAAGUAACUGUGCACAUCUUGACGGUACCUAAUCAGAAAGCCACGGCUAACUACGUG
rnacentral:rRNA from 1 species